rnacentral:rRNA from 1 species
UACAGAGGUCUCAAGCGUUUGUUCGGAUUCAUUGGGCGUAAAGGGUGCGUAGGCGGCGCGGUAAGUCGGGUGUGAAAUCUUGGAGCUUAACUCCGAAACUGCAUUCGAUACUGCCGUGCUUGAGGACUGGAGAGGAGACUGGAAUUUACGGUGUAGCGGUGAAAUGCGUAGAUAUCGUAAGGAAGACCAGUGGCGAAGGCGGGUCUCGUGGACAGUUCCUGA